AACGGCGCGGUGAGUACAAAGCAAACUAUUCUUUCGCCUUUUACUAAAGAAUACCGUGUAAUCGCCGCACUUAGUGGUAUACACCUAUUUUUGUGGGGAAUUCUCCACUUCCGUGGAGAAC
rnacentral:snRNA from 1 species